AGUGAACGCUGGCGGUAGGCCUAACACAUGCAAGUCGAACGGCAGCACAGUAAGAGCUUGCUCUUACGGGUGGCGAGUGGCGGACGAGUGAGGAAUACAUCGGAAUCUACUUUUUCGUGGGGGAUAACGUAGGGAAACUUACGCUAAUACCGCAUACGACCUACGGGUGAAAGCAGGGGAUCUUCGGACCUUGCGCGAUUGAAUGAGCCGAUGUCGGAUUAGCUAGUUGGCGGGGUAAAGGCCCACCAAGGCGACGAUCCGUAGCUGGUCUGAGAGGAUGAUCAGCCACACUGGAACUGAGACACGGCCCAGACUCCUACGGGAGGCAGCAGUGGGGAAUAUUGCACAAUGGGCGCAAGCCUGAUCCAGCCAUACCGCGUGGGUGAAGAAGGCCUUCGGGUUGUAAAGCCCUUUUGUUGGGAAAGAAAAGCAGCAGGUUAAUACCCCGCUGUUCUGACGGUACCCAAAGAAUAAGCACCGGCUAACUUCGUG
rnacentral:rRNA from 1 species